ACACAUGCAAGUCGACGAUGAAGCCCUUCGGGGUGGAUUAGUGGCGAACGGGUGAGUAACACGUGGGCAAUCUGCCCUGCACUCUGGGACAAGCCCUGGAAACGGGGUCUAAUACCGGAUAUGACCGUCCAUCGCAUGGUGGAUGGUGUAAAGCUCCGGCGGUGCAGGAUGAGCCCGCGGCCUAUCAGCUAGUUGGUGAGGUAGUGGCUCACCAAGGCGACGACGGGUAGCCGGCCUGAGAGGGCGACCGGCCACACUGGGACUGAGACACGGCCCAGACUCCUACGGGAGGCAGCAGUGGGGAAUAUUGCACAAUGGGCGAAAGCCUGAUGCAGCGACGCCGCGUGAGGGAUGACGGCCUUCGGGUUGUAAACCUCUUUCAGCAGGGAAGAAGCGAAAGUGACGGUACCUGCAGAAGAAGCGCCGGCUAACUACGUGCCAGCAGCCGCGGUAAUACGUAGGGCGCAAGCGUUGUCCGGAAUUAUUGGGCGUAAAGAGCUCGUAGGCGGCUUGUCACGUCGGUUGUGAAAGCCCGGGGCUUAACCCCGGGUCUGCAGUCGAUACGGGCAGGCUAGAGUUCGGUAGGGGAGAUCGGAAUUCCUGGUGUAGCGGUGAAAUGCGCAGAUAUCAGGAGGAACACCGGUGGCGAAGGCGGAUCUCUGGGCCGAUACUGACGCUGAGGAGCGAAAGCGUGGGGAGCGAACAGGAUUAGAUACCCUGGUAGUCCACGCCGUAAACGGUGGGCACUAGGUGUGGGCAACAUUCCACGUUGUCCGUGCCGCAGCUAACGCAUUAAGUGCCCCGCCUGGGGAGUACGGCCGCAAGGCUAAAACUC
rnacentral:rRNA from 1 species